CCUACGGGAGGCAGCAGUCGAGAAUCAUUCACAAUGGGGGAAACCCUGAUGGUGCGACGCCGCGUGGGGGAAUGAAGGUCUUCGGAUUGUAAACCCCUGUCAUGUGGGAGCAAAUUAAAAAGAUAGUACCACAAGAGGAAGAGACGGCUAACUCUGUGCCAGCAGCCGCGGUAAUACGGAGGUUUCAAGCGUUGUUCGGAAUCACUGGGCGUAAGGCGUGCGGAGGCUGUUUCGUAAGUCGUGUGUGAAAGGCGCGGGCUCAACCCGCGGACGGCACAUGAUACUGCGAGACUAGAGUAAUGGAGGGGGAACCGGAAUUCUCGGUGUAGCAGUGAAAUGCGUAGAUAUCGAGAGGAACACUCGUGGCGAAGGCGGGUUCCUGGACAUUAACUGACGCUGAGGCACGAAGGCCAGGGGAGCGAAAGGGAUUAGAUACCCUGGUAGUC
rnacentral:rRNA from 1 species